rnacentral:rRNA from 4 species
GGUUGCACCAGAAGUAGAUAGCUUAACCUUCGGGAGGGCGUUUACCACGGUGUGAUUCAUGACUGGGGUGAAGUCGUAACAAGGUAACCCUAGGGGAACCUGGGGUUGGAUCACCUCCUUACCUUAA